UAUUUUUUUUCCCUUUUUGUUAUUUAUUAUACAGUUUAAAUAUGGAUAAUUGGUCUUCUUAGUUUCUUUUAUGAUACCUUCUAAAAACUGUCUGUUAUAAUCCUGUCGUUAAUGAUUUGUUGGAUCAUGAAAAACAUACGAGAUACCUGCAAUACUAUUACAAACUCGCAUUCUAGCAUGCAUAUAUAAGAAAAAAUGUUGAUUGGGUCAGAGUCACGGCAGUUGGAAGUGUUGUUUUUAGUAUUGUCAAAUUAACUACUGACUUUAAUUACAUUAAUUGAAGAACGGAGGUACGUCC
rnacentral:lncRNA from 1 species